rnacentral:rRNA from 1 species
UACGUAGGGUGCAAGCGUUGUCCGGAAUUAUUGGGCGUAAAGGGCGCGUAGGCGGCCACGCACGUCCGUUGUGAAAUCGCCCGGCUCAACUGGGCGGGGUCGGCGGAUACGGCGUGGCUGGAGCAAGCUAGGGGGCAAUGGAAUUCCCGGUGUAGUGGUGGAAUGCGUAGAUAUCGGGAGGAACACCAGUGGCGAAGGCGGUUGCCUGGAGCUUUGCUGACGCUGAGGCGCGAAAGCGUGGGGAGCGAUCCGG